UACGUAGGGGGCAAGCGUUGUCCGGAUUUAUUGGGCGUAAAGCGCUCGCAGGUGGUUCGUCGCGUCGUGCGUGAAAGACCCCGGCUCCAACUGGGGGAGGUCGUGCGAUACGGGCGAACUGGAGGCCAGUAGGGGGAUGCGGAAUUCCGGGUGUAGUGGUGGAAUGCGUAGAGAGUCCGGAGGAACACCAGCGGCGAAGGCGGCAUCCUGGACUGGCCUGGACACUCAUGAG
rnacentral:rRNA from 1 species